rnacentral:rRNA from 1 species
AUUGAACGCUGGCGGCAGGCCUAACACAUGCAAGUCGAGCGGAUGAGGGAAGCUUGCUUCCCGAUUUAGCGGCGGACGGGUGAGUAAUGCCUAGGAAUCUGCCUAUUAGUGGGGGAUAACGUUCCGAAAGGAACGCCAAUACCGCAUACGUCCUAUGGGAGAAAGUGGGGGAUCUUCGGACCUCACGCUAAUAGAUGAGCCUGGGUCGGAUUAGCUAGUUGGUGGGGUAACGGCUCACCAAGGCGACGAUCCGUAGCUGGUCUGAGAGGAUGAUCAGCCACACUGGAACUGAGACACGGUCCAGACUCCUACGGGAGGCAGCAGUGGGGAAUAUUGGACAAUGGGCGAAAGCCUGAUCCAGCCAUGCCGCGUGUGUGAAGAAGGUCUUCGGAUUGUAAAGCACUUUAAGUUGGGAGGAAGGGUUGUAAGCUAAUAUCUUGCAGCUUUGACGUUACCAACAGAAUGAGCACCGGCUAACUCUGUGCCAGCCGCCGCAGUAAAAC